GACGAACGCUGGCGGCGUGCUUAACACAUGCAAGUCGAACGGAAAGGCCCCUUUGGGGGUACUCGAGUGGCGAACGGGUGAGUAACACGUGAGUAACCUGCCCUUGACUUCGGGAUAACUUCAGGAAACUGGGGCUAAUACCGGAUAGGAAUCCUUGCUGCAUGGAGGGGGUUGGAAAGCUUCGGCGGUUUUGGAUGGACUCGCGGCUUAUCAGCUUGUUGGUGGGGUAGUGGCUUACCAAGGCUUUGACGGGUAGCCGGCCUGAGAGGGCGACCGGCCACAUUGGGACUGAGAUACGGCCCAGACGCCUACGGGAGGCAGCAGUGGGGAAUAUUGCACAAUGGGCGGAAGCCUGAUGCAGCAACGCCGCGUGCGGGAUGACGGCCUUCGGGUUGUAAACCGCUUUCAGCAGGGGCGAAGCUUGUGGUGACGGUACCUGCAGAAGAAGCACCGGCUAACUACGUG
rnacentral:rRNA from 1 species